rnacentral:rRNA from 1 species
UACGUAGGGGGCAAGCGUUGUCCGGAUUUAUUGGGCGUAAAGAGCGUGUAGGCGGUUAGGUAGGUCCGUUGUGAAAACUCGAGGCUCAACCUCGAGACGCCGAUGGAAACCAUCUAACUAGAGUCCGGAAGAGGAGAAUGGAAUUCCUGGUGUAGCGGUGAAAUGCGCAGAUAUCAGGAAGAACACCCGUGGCUAAGGCGGUUCUCUAGUACGGUACUGACGCUGAGACGCGAAAGCGUGAGGAGCGAACAGG